rnacentral:misc_RNA from 1 species
UUAAGUUCAGCGGGUAGUCCUACCUGAUUUGAGGUCAAAAUGAUCAAAUUGUCCCGUGAAGGACGAUUAGAAGCCAGACAAUUCGAGCUACACAGUGACGACAUUAUCACACCGCAUAUAUGCUGCGAACUAAAUUCCAGCUAAUGCAUUCAAGAGAAGCUGACUUACACCAGCAAUCCCCAAGUCCAAGCUCAUCUCAC